rnacentral:rRNA from 1 species
GACAGAGGUGCCGAGCGUUAGGCGGAAUCACUGGGCUUAAAGCGUGUGUAGGCGGAUCCGUAAGUACCUUGUGAAAUCCCACGGCUCAACCGUGGAACUGCUUGGUAUACUGCGGGUCUUGAGCCACCUAGGGGCGAGCGGAACAAGUGGUGGAGCGGUGAAAUGCGUAGAUAUCACUUGGAACGCCAAUGGUGAAAACAGCUCGCUGGGGGGUGUGCUGACGCUGAGACACGAAAGCCAGGGGAGCAAAACGGG